GGCCUCUUGGUCUAGGGGUAUGAUUCCUGCUUUGGGUGCAGGAGGUCCCGGGUUCAAAUCCCGGAGAGGCCC
rnacentral:tRNA from 2 species